GCAUGGCUCUGGAUUUAUGGUGGGUCUGGUCCCAUGGCCCUUUCCAUAGUGUACUCCAUGCUAAAGCAAUCCUACUACCCCGAACCAUUGGCUAGCUCGGCUUGCUGUAGCCCUGGCCACUGAAGCGGGUGGCACAUCU